rnacentral:tRNA from 1 species
UUAAUUAAAGUAUUUUGUGUAUACAUCUUUUACAAUGAUGUGGUCUACAAUGUUGUAGUAAUUAAU